UACGUAGGGCGCAAGCGUUGUCCGGAAUUAUUGGGCGUAAAGAGCUCGUAGGCGGUCUGUCGCGUCGGUCGUGAAAACUUGGGGCUUAACCCUGAGCUUGCGGUCGAUACGGGCAUGACUGGAGUUCGGCAGGGGAGACUGGAAUUCCUGGUGUAGCGGUGAAAUGCGCAGAUAUCAGGAGGAACACCGGUGGCGAAGGCGGUUCUCUGGGCAUGUCCUGACGCUGAGGAGCGAAAGUGUGGGGAGCGAACAGG
rnacentral:rRNA from 1 species